UUCAUGGUCACCGUUGUCGCGGCGUUGUUUCGACGUCGAGGAAAGUCAGGACAGCACAGGGCACCAUACUUCCUAACGGGAAGGGGGCAAAAGGGCAACUUUUUGUUCACAGCCAGUACCACAGAAAACUACCGCCCUGCCGGUUUUCGGCUGGGUAAGGGUGAAAACGUGAGGUAAGAGCUCACGGCUUCGGAUGGCGACAUCCAACGCGGGUAAACCUUAUGGGCUGCAAGACCAAAUAUGCCGGCGCUGGCUUCUUCGGAAGCCUGUAAGGCGGCUCGUCUGAGCCGGUGGGUAGGUCGCUAGAACCUUUUGGUGACAAAAGGUCCAGAUAAAUGACAACUUCGUACAGAAUCCUGCUUAUGAGACCAUGAAAAAC
rnacentral:RNase_P_RNA from 1 species